AUUGAACGCUGGCGGCAGGCCUAACACAUGCAAGUCGAACGGUAACAGGAAGAAGCUUGCUUCUUUGCUGACGAGUGGCGGACGGGUGAGUAAUGUCUGGGAAACUGCCUGAUGGAGGGGGAUAACUACUGGAAACGGUAGCUAAUACCGCAUAACGUCGCAAGCCCAAAGAGGGGGACCUUCGGGCCUCUUGCCAUCGGAUGUGCCCAGAUGGGAUUAGCUAGUAGGUGGGGUAACGGCCCACCUAGGCGACGAUCCCUAGCUGGUCUGAGAGGAUGACCAGCCACACUGGAACUGAGACACGGUCCAGACUCCUACGGGAGGCAGCAGUGGGGAAUAUUGCACAAUGGGCGCAAGCCUGAUGCGGCCAUGCCGCGUGUAUGAAGAAGGCCUUCGGGUUGUAAAGUACUUUCAGCGGGGAGGAAGGGAGUAAAGUUAAUACCUUUGCUCAUUGACGUUACCCGCAGAAGAAGCACCGGCUAACUCCGUG
rnacentral:rRNA from 1 species